CGUAGGUGGCAAGCGUUGUCCGGAUUUAUUGGGUUUAAAGGGUGCGUAGGCGGCUUUGUAAGUCAGUGGUGAAAUACUCCAGCUCAACUGGAGAGGUGCCAUUGAUACUGCAGAGCUAGAGUACUGAUGAGGUAGGCGGAAUGGACGGUGUAGCGGUGAAAUGCUUAGAUAUCGUCCAGAACACCGAUAGCGAAGGCAGCUUACUAAAGAGUAACUGACGCUGAGGCACGAAAGUGUGGGGAUCAAACAGGAUUAGAUACCCAGGUAGUCCACACUGUAAACGUUGAUCACUAGAUGUUGGCGAUACACUGCCAGCGUUCCAGCAAAAGCGAUAAGUGAUCCACCUGGGGAGUACGCCCGCAAGGGUG
rnacentral:rRNA from 1 species